UACGUAGGGCGCAAGCGUUUAUCCGGAAUUAUUGGGCGUAAAGAGCUUGUAGGCGGUUUGUCGCGUCUGCUGUGAAAUCUCAAGGCUCAACCUUGAGCUUGCAGUGGGUACGGGCAGACUAGAGUGUGGUAGGGGAGACUGGAAUUCCUGGUGUAGCGGUGAAAUGCGCAGAUAUCAGGAGGAACACCGAUGGCGAAGGCAGGUCUCUGGGCCACUACUGACGCUGGAGAAGCGAAAAGCAUGGGGAGCGAACAGG
rnacentral:rRNA from 1 species